rnacentral:rRNA from 1 species
UGAGGAAUAUUGCACAAUGGGCGAAAGCCUGAUGCAGCGACGCCGCGUGGAGGAUGACGGCUUUCGGGUUGUAAACUCCUGUUAAGUGGGAUAAAAUCCUUACCUCUAAUACAGGUAAGGGGUGAUAGUACCAUUAGAGAAAGCACCGGCUAACUUCGUGCCAGCAGCCGCGGUAAUACGAGGGGUGCAAGCGUUAUUCGGAUUUAUUGGGCGUAAAGGGUGCGUAGGUGGUAUGUCAAGUCUGUUGUCAAAUCUUUCGGCCUAACCGAAAGCCUGCAAUGAAAACUGGCACACUUGAGGGUGGAAGAGGGAAGUGGAAUUCUCGGAGUAGCGGUAAAAUGCGUGGAUCUCGAGAGGAACACCGAUGGCGAAGGCAGCUUCCUGGUCCAUAUCUGACACUGAGGCACGAAAGCGUGGGGAGCAAACA